rnacentral:rRNA from 1 species
CUAAGUUUGAUGGCGACCGGCGCACGGGUGAGUAACACGUAUCCAACCCGCCGAUGACUCGGGGAUAGCCUUUCGAAAGAAAGAUUAAUACCCGAUGGCAUAGUUCUUCCGCAUGGUAGAACUAUUAAAGAAUUUCGGUCAUCGAUGGGGAUGCGUUCCAUUAGGUUGUUGGCGGGGUAACGGCCCACCAAGCCUUCGAUGGAUAGGGGUUCUGAGAGGAAGGUCCCCCACAUUGGAACUGAGACACGGUCCAAACUCCUACGGGAGGCAGCAUG